AAAAAUUUGGUGGCAAAGAAUGACAAAUGUUUUAAGUGCCUGCCAAGUUUCAUCAGGGAAUAACAUUCAUGGGUGCCGCGGCAAAAAAACAAUCAGCACUCCAAAAUAGAUUAUUUUUUUGCCACGACUUCCACGAAUGUCGUUUCCUAAUGAAACUUGGAAAGCACUUAGAACAUUUGUUGUUCUUCGCCACCAUAUUUUU
rnacentral:pre_miRNA from 1 species